ensembl:lncRNA
CUCGUGGUUGGUUCAACGUUUCAGUGAUGAACCGUGACUUUUACCGAAUUAGUGGCUUUAUCGACUUCCAAUGCAAGUAAUGUUGUUGUAAACCUAACGAGACACCGUGAUAGGAGCAUACAACUCAUGCCGUUCUAUUCUCUUUUCACACAUUUUCGACAUCACUCACACACUUAAUUUCUUGUACCAGAAAUCAAAAUUGCAUGAGUAUGCUUCAGACCCAAGCAGUGGUCCAAUCUAUGUAUGUGGUAAAGACUCCAUUAAUUAAAUAAUAAAUUGAAUAUGUUUCAUUACAGAGACUCAGAGAGAUUAUCGAACAGCGACGAUGGACAGGAAGACAUUAUUUUCUUUGUGGGCUCAACUGACCCCUGCUUCCAUCAUGAUGGCGGACAGGGAGUACUACACCGAGGUGACCAGGCUCGUCCCCGCCCCCCCUACUGAGGCCAAGCCCCCGGGCCUUAACCCCCGCUACCCUCGUGGGGCUAGGCUGCCCUGGUUGGCUGCCCCAGCUGGUGGCAGCAACGAGAGGGUCGUCCUCCGCCCCCCGACUGAGGCCAAGCCCCCGGGCCUUAACCCCCGCUACCCUCGUGGGGCUAGGCUGCCCCGGUUGGCUGUGGCUGAGGUGGCUGACGGCCAGGAAGCCUGGAUCCAGGCGGCCCACUCCGACACCGUGUCCCCCCGUGCACGGGCUCUGGGUGCCGCCUCGAGCCAGGAGACUUCCCCGGGCCGAACCCCCCCAGCAGUGGCUGACCCUGACCACCAUCGUGGGUCUAGGCUGCCCCGGUUGGCUGCCCCAGCCGCUGGCGCCAGCGACAGGAUCGUCCUCCGCCCCCCUACUGAGGCCAAGCCCCCGGGCCUUAACCCCCGCUACCCUCGUGGGUCUAGGCUGCCCCGGUUGGCUGCCCCAGCUGGUGGCGCCAACGAGAGGAUCGUCCUCCGCCCCCCUACUGAGGCCAAGCCCCCGGGCCUUAACCCCCGCUACCCUCGUGGGGCUAGGCUGCCCCGGUUGGCUGUGGCUGAGGAGGCUGAUGGCCAGGAAGCCUGGAUCACGGCGGCCCACUCCGACACCGUGUCCCCCCGUGCACGGGCUCUGGGUGCCGCCUCGAGCCAGGAGACUUCCCCGGGCCAAACCCCCCCAGAAGUGGCUGACCCUGACCACCCUCGUGGGGCUAGGCUGCCCCGGUUGGCUGCCCCAGCCGCUGGCGCCAACGAGAGGAUCGUCCUCCGCCCCCCUACUGAGGCCAAGCCCCCACAUAGACCCCCAGUGUCCUUCACAGUGGAUCUGCGGGACGCCCCGCUGAGCUCCGCCCCCUCGUCCCGGAACGCCGCUGCCUCUGCCCGCCGCCGGGCACUCGGAGGCGCCGAGGCGGACCUCUCUGGGACGGAGCGCUCCCAGACUGCCAACGGCCAGAGGUCCCAGGCCCCAGGCAGGAUCGUCCUCCGCCCCCCUACUGAGGCCAAGCCCCCGGGCCUUAACCCCCGCUACCCUCGUGGGUCUAGGCUGCCCCGGUUGGCUGUGGCUGAGGAGGCUGACGGCCAGGAAGCCUGGAUCCAGGCGGCCCACUCCGACAGCGUGUCCCUCUGUGCACGGGCUCUGGGUGCCGCCUCGAGCCAGGAGACUUCCCCGGGCCAAACCCCCCCAGAAGUGGCUGACCCUGACCACCCUCGUGGGACUAGGCUGCCCCGGUUGGCUGCCCCAGCCGCUGGCGCCAACGAGAGGAUCGUCCUCCGCCCUACUGAGGCCAAGCCCCCACAUAGACCCCCAGUGUCCUUCACAGUGGAUCUGCGGGACGCCCAGCUGAGCUCCGCCCCCUCUUCCCGGAACGCCACUGCCUCCGCCCGCCGCCGGGCGCUCGGAGGCGCCGAGGCGGACCUCCCUGGGAGGGAGUGCUCCCAGUCCGCCAACGGCCAGAGGUCCCAGGCCCCAGGCAGCCCGCCGGCCUCUGAGGUUCCUGAAGGCGUGGCGGGCAGAGGUAAGUGCGCGUUCAGCCCGUUUCCCCCUGUGCAGGAGCGUCUGAGGAACGGCAGGAUCCCCCGGGAGAAGCUCCGGGGCCCGUCCCCCCACCAGGCAGGGGAAGAGGCCGGGCCCUCUGGGAAGCGGCAGAAGAACGGGGGCCGCUGUUUCCCCAACCAGAGGCUGACCGCUGAGCCCGAGCUGGAGGAGAAGCUGUUGGAUAGCAGAGAUGAGCCGUCCCAGGGCUCCCUCAGCGGCCCCCAGCGAGACCCACCAGAGCCCCCCGGGCCCCACCCCUUCCCCAAACCUGAGCUGGCCAUGACACAGAGCCUCACUCUCAUCAGCUCAGAGAACUGGUGA